rfam:Ipomoea nil DNA, scaffold: scaffold1525, cultivar: Tokyo-kokei standard.
GUUGCUUUGGCCGAGUGGUUAAGGCGUGUGCCUGCUAAGUACAUGGGGUUUCCCCGCGCCAGUUUGAAUAUCUCACGCAACG